CUGCACUCUUUCCACAUCUCUAUGUAUUUUUAAACAAAUGGAGGUUUUUAGUUACCCUCUCAUGGCCAUUGGAGGUAACUAAAAACCUCAAUUUGUUUAAAAAUACAUAAGGAUGUGGAAAGAGCGCAGGU